UAGAUUUUCCAAUGGAAGAAAAAGGAAAUCCAAUACAAACCCUUUAAUCGAUCUCUCUAUGAAUUCCCGAGCUUACUGUUCCAUUGAUAUGUUAAUUAAUUUUCCAUUGAAGCAAAGCUAUUCGAAUAAUAGGGUUGGUGUCUUUCUGUAUUCGAAUAAUAGGAUUGGAAGAAAUUCCUACUAGACAAUACGUUACUGAUUGGGGCUCUGUUUUUUGCUGUUUCUCACCAACAAAAAUCAAGUAGAAGGCGAAGGCGACAACGCUAGGAAUAUGGGGUCUUCUUUAAUCUUCACAGGAUAUUGGAUCCAUAUUUUAAGACUGUAGUUGGUUCUUUUGCUGAUAAUAAGAAGAUCAAUCUCACAAUCUGUAAUCUUUUGAUUUGUUUACAAGCUGGUUCAAUUUGGUCAAAUAAAUAAUUGUCCAAGUUGAAUCCCCGAGAAAAUCUAGCUUAUUUCUAUAAUUACUUUCAAGCUGGUUCUUUUGCUAUAAUUGCUUUCAUGCUUCAUGGGAAUUUAUCAGCUGUUUAACUUGGUCAAAUCUCCAACUUAGGUUCCUGCACAAUUAGAGAUAGGUUAACUGUGGAGUUGAUCAGAUGCUUUAGUUUGUUGUAUGCCAUGCAACAAUUAGAGAUAGGUUCUAACAAUAAAGUUUGUUUGUAUUUACUUUUAGCUUCGUGUCGUUGUUUUCCAAUAUACACUGUCACCAAUGGCAUUGUUGGUGACAAUGUAUAUUGGAUAAUUGGUUAAAUUGCUUUCAACAGGUUUUUUUCUGGACAUGGGGUUUUGCUCAGCCAACACUUAUGCAGUCUCAGGGAUGGCCCAUGGAAAUCUGGUAGCGGUUUCAUUGAUAUUGCUGAGAUGAGAAAAAUGGUGUACAAGCGUAGAAAAGUAAGGCUUCUCCCCUAAAUGGCGCAACUCUGAAGUCACACUAUCCGUGACGAGAUUGGAGGCAUGUCAUAAUCAGGCAUGCAAAUCCACUUCGACAGUAUUUAUUGUCUAUUAAUCAAGAAGGUUUAGCAAAGAACAGCUUGAUUCAAAGAGAGAUGCCAAACAACAUUUGUUACUAUACAGUCGAAUACCAUUGGAAUCCAGUUCCGAUGGAAGCUCGAGUGAACAUGAGUUAUAAUAGGAACCAUACGUCGAGGAUUCUGUAAGUAAGAUCAAUUAAGUUUUGUAUACCAUCGGCAUUGACUUAUUUGUUAUUGUUCCAUAUUAUAUAAUCACUAAUUAACUUCUUUAUUGAUUAUUCAUCUCAAAUUUUGAUUCACAAUAUUAUCAGAUGUUAAGUUGUGUUGACUUUAAUCAAAGGAUGACUUAAUGUAAAAAAGAACAAAAAAACAAAAGCCUCCAAGUGCUACAUUUUUCCGUGCAUACAGCAGAAGGCACCAUUAUGAUUGCCAAAUGUUGACACACAAUACUAGAGAGGACUACCUCGAAGUGGAUAACAAGGGUGAUUAUGGACAGGUUCUUCCUACCACCUAUUAUGAAACCAAGUGGAGAUUGUGAUGUCCCACGAGAAGUUGCUACUGGCAUUAUCGAUUACCAGGUUCAUCAAAUACACUGGGACAGGGUGAGGCGAAGCUGAGCCACACCAAAUCAAAUUGGGACGGGACGAGACGAAGCUGAGCCUUACCAAAUUAAAUUGGGACGGGGUGAGGCGAGGCGAAGCCGAAACCGAACUUUACCAAAUCGGGACGGGACGAGGCGAAACCGAGCUUUACCGAAUCAAAUCGGGACG